GAUGAACGCUGGCGGCGUGCCUAAUACAUGCAAGUCGAGCGAACAGACGAGUAGCUUGCUCCUCUGACGUUAGCGGCGGACGGGUGAGUAACACGUGGAUAACCUACCUAUAAGACUGGGAUAACUUCGGGAAACCGGUGCUAAUACCGGAUAAUAUAUUCAACUGCAUGGGUCAAUAAUGAAAGACGGUGUUGCUUUCACUUAUAGAUUGUUCCCCGCCGCAUUAGAUAGUUGGUAAGCUAACGGCUUACCAAGGCAACGAUGCGUAGCCGACCGGAGAGGCUGAUCGGCGACCCGGGAACGGAGCCAGGCACACGACUACUAAGAGAGGGAGCAGUAGGGAAUGGUCCGCAACGGGCGAGAGCAUGACGGAGCAACGCAGAGUGAGUGAUGAAGGUCCUCGGAUAGUAAAAAUCUGUUAUUAGGGAAGAACAAAUGUGUAAGUAGACAAGCACGUAUUGACGGUACCUAAUCAGAAAGGACCGGCUAACUACGUG
rnacentral:rRNA from 1 species